AAUUGCAUAAGCGUUAAUAAGGUCACUUGCAGAGGAGUAUUUUUCUCUUUGGUCAUUAUUAAGAAUGAUGCAAAUGGAUGCGUUAUGAGAGGAGCGCAAAUUGUGGAAGAAAGUACAAAACGACAACAGCGCAAAAGAAUGGAUAUAUAAAACGCCAAAAAAAAUUCCUUCUUUCCACCGACCCGAAUUCUGUCUCUGUCUCUCGCUCUGCCUCUAUACGUGUGCCCCAGUAGGAGGAAAUAAUGCACCAACCACUGCUUGUAUUGUGUGGAUAACAGAAUAAUUGCAGGGAUGGGAGGUUGUUGCUGUUCUUCCAGGAAACCCCAUCUACCCGGAAGACCUGUAUACAACCAUUGUCCAGCAGCUUUGGAAGAGAAGGAGGCAUUAACAUCUCACAGUGGCAUAGUCUCUACCUUUAGAGGAGGACUCCUGAUUGAUUUUCAUCUGGAAGCAUCAACACCUGACACUUUCCGACCCCCUCCUGCACCCUUACCAUAUGAUGUUGUUUUCGGAUGUCUAUCAUCAACAGAUUCAGAGUCUGUUGAAGAAACAAUUAGUGGCAGUAGUUUUGAAACAUCACCCAAACAUGAAGAUCUUGAAGAAUUAGACUGCAAAACUCAAGCUAGUUCUUUGCUUAUCUCACCAAGGAAAUCAGAAGUUGCGAAAUUAAAUGAAUCCAUUGUGGCGGAAGAGGACACCUGUCCCAUUUGUCUUGAAGAAUAUGAUAAAGAGAAUCCAAAACUUUUCACUAAAUGUAAACAUCAUUUUCAUCUCUCAUGCAUUUUGGAGUGGAAUGAAAGAAGUGACUCCUGCCCCAUUUGUGAUCAGGUUGUAAUUUAUCUUGAAGAUUGAACUGUUCAAGAUGUCGCUUUUUUAGUGGGUUAGUCCUAAGUAAAGAAACAAAGUUUCAACUCCGCAUGGUAGCUGAUUUUCCUCCUUUAUGCCCAUUUCAUUGGUUGAUUUGAGGUGGAAGAAUGAUGCCAGCUGCACUGUUGUUGGGGAUAAAUCUGAUAUAUCUCAUUUGCAGAAAACAGAAAUGCCAUAUUACUCUGCAUCUCAUUUCACCUUAUGGAAAUACCAUUUUCUUUUAAAGAAGAAAUUUUCAUUGGUUUCUCAUAUGCAUGAAUGGUCUAAGCUUCUCCUCCCCGACUUUGCUAGAGGAUGUUGAUGCUACAUCAAGAAGUUGGAUGAAGCUUGUGUUUUAUUAUAAACUUAAGGAAAAACCUUUUCAGAAUUGCCACAAUUGGAGCCAUUUUCUGCAGUUCUCUUAAGGCAUUUACAGGAAAGAAAUCUGGUUUUGCAGAACCUGUGGCUUAAGGCCCAAAUAGUUUCAAAAGCUAAUACCAACAUACCUACCAGGUAGUUGCUACCUGUUAUCAUUUACUUUCUUGAACAAGUUCCAAGGAUGGUUCUACCGAAAUUUUGGCAAUAUUUCAGUGAGUAAAAAUAUGUACACUUAUAAAGAAUAAUAAUUUUUGUAUUAACAAUCAUAUGUUAUUAUGUGAUUAGUGUUAUUUUAUUACUAAUCCAAAAUCACGUAAUCACAUAGUAACGUGUUAUUUUUAGUACAUAUAGUCUUACUCCCAUCCCACAAAACUUGUUUACCUGAUAUAUUGUCACUGGCUCAGAAGCAUGUAAAACCCAGUAUUUGAAAAUAGUUAAAAGUGUCUGCCUACAA